UUUUUGUCUGAGAGAGAAGAGAAGUGAAUCCCGCUGCCGCCGCCGCCGCCGCCGCUGCUGUAGCUGUACAGUGUGUGUGUGUGUGUGUGAGAGAGAGAGAGCGAGAGAGAGGGAGAUUGCAUGGAGCCGCGUCUGUAACACACACACACUGUCAAUACCUCACUCCAGCUCCCCCCGCCCCACCACAACACUAACCCAAUUCAUUGUGUGAUCCAGCAGCACCAUGUUGAGUCUCAUGUGCAGGCUGGAUCGGUUGGGUUUGUGGUGCUGAGACAGGCAGCAGCAGGAAUUACUGAGAGGUGCCCCUCUCCCUCCCUGUGUGUCUCUGCCCGUGUGUUGUGUGGAGACGGGACUCGCAAUUACCACGCUCUCGGGGGCUCCCUUAUUCCUUUUAAACUUUUUUUUUUAAACAAGCCCCUCUCCAUGGCUGAUCCCCGGCCGUGCACGGGCACCUGGGUCUCGUAAAGACAAGGAGGAGCUGGGGAUUGUUGUUGUUUUUUUUUUAAUUGGAUUUUUUUUAAGAAAACCUUUUUUAAUACAAAAAAUGGCAAAUUCGACGGGUAAAACCCAACCAGACCAGCGGAGAAAGGGACUCGCUUUCCUGGACGAGCUGCGGCAGUUUCACCACAGCAGAGGGUCUCCUUUUAAGAAGAUCCCUGUGGUGGGUGGGAAGGAGCUGGAUCUUCACGCUCUCUACACCAGAGUCACCACUUUAGGCGGAUUUGGGAAGGUAUCUGAGAAGAAUCAGUGGGGAGAAAUUGUAGAGGAGUUUAACUUUCCCAGAAGUUGUUCUAACGCUGCCUUCGCUUUAAAACAGUAUUACUUGCGCUAUCUAGAAAAGUACGAGAAAGUACAUCAUUUUGGGGAGGAUGAUGAUGAGGUACAACCAGGCAAUCCAAAGCCACAACUUCCUAUAGGUGCAAUUCCAUCUUCCUACAAUUACCAGCAACACAGUGUGUCAGAUUAUCUUCGUCAAAGCUAUGGGCUGUCUAUGGACUUUAAUUCACCGAAUGACUAUAAUAAAUUGGUGCUUUCACUGUUAUCUGGACUCCCAAAUGAAGUGGACUUUGCUAUUAAUGUGUGCACUCUUCUGUCAAAUGAAAGCAAGCAUGUCAUGCAGCUUGAAAAGGACCCUAAAAUCAUCACUCUAUUGCUCGCUAAUGCUGGGGUGUUUGAUGACACUUUAGGAUCAUUUUCUACUGUAUUUGGAGACGAAUGGAAGGAGAAAACUGAUAGAGAUUUUGUUAAGUUUUGGAAGGAUAUUGUCGAGGAUAAUGAAGUACGUGACCUCAUUUCUGACAGAAACAAAUCUCAAGAUGUUCCAUCAGAAGAAUGGAUAUGGGAAUCCUUAUUUCAUCCACCUCGCAAGUUGGGCAUUAAUGAUAUUGAAGGGCAGCGGGUACUUCAGAUUGCAGUGAUAUUGCGAAAUCUUUCUUUUGAGGAGGGAAACGUUAAACUUUUGGCAGCUAAUCGUACCUGUCUUCGGUUCCUGCUACUCUCUGCUCAUAGUCAUUUUAUUUCUCUAAGACAAUUGGGGCUUGACACACUAGGAAAUAUUGCAGCAGAGCUUUUGUUGGACCCUGUUGAUUUCAAAACUACUCAUCUAAUGUUUCACACUGUUACAAAAUGCCUAAUGGCAAGGGAUAGAUUCUUAAAAAUGAGAGGCAUGGAAAUCUUGGGGAAUCUUUGUAAAGCUGAAGAUAAUGGUGUAUUAAUUUGUGAAUAUGUGGAUCAAGAAUCCUACAAAGAGAUAAUAUGUCAUCUCACUUUACCAGAUGUGCUGCUUGUAAUCUCAGCACUUGAAGUGCUAUACAUGCUCACAGAAAUGGGAGAAGUGGCCUGCACAAAGAUUGCUAAAGUAGACAAGAGCAUAGAUACAUUAGUAUGUCUGGUUUCUAUGGACAUCCAGAUGUUUGGACCUGAUGCACUUACUGCUGUAAAACUCAUUGAACAUCAGAGCUCCAACCAUCAAGUAUCUGAAAUCAGGCCACAGGCGGUGGAGCAUGUUUCCUCACAGGCCCAUGCAACAGCUGUCCCAGCAUCAAGAGCAGCACAGCAUGUUGCUCCACCACCAGGAAUAGUAGAAAUAGACAGUGAGAAAUUUGCAUGCCAGUGGUUGAAUGCACAUUUUGAGGUGAAUUCAGAUUGCUCAGUCUCUCGAGCGGAAAUGUACUCUGAAUACCUCUCAACCUGCAGUAAAUUAGCUCGAGGUGGAAUCCUAACAUCAACUGGAUUUUAUAAAUGUCUUCGAACUGUCUUUCCAAAUCACACAGUGAAGAGAGUAGAGGAUCCAAAUAACAACGGGCAGGCACAUAUACACGUAGUAGGAGUUAAAAGGAGAGCUAUACCACUUCCCAUUCAGAUGUACUAUCAGCAACAACCAACUUCUGCUACCCCUGUCGUCCGGGUUGAUUCUAUUCCUGAUGUAUCUCCGUCUCCUUCACCAGCAGGAAUCCCACAUGGACCACAAAGUGUAGGAAACCAUUUUCAGAGGACCCCAGUUAACAACCAGUCUUCAAAUCUGACAGCAACACAGAUGUCUUUUCCAAUUCAAGGUGUUCACACUGUGGCGCAGACUAUUUCUAGAAUUCCACAAAAUCCUUCAGUUCACACACAGCAACAACAAAACGCUACCGUGACUGUCAUUCAGAAUAAAACUCCAAUUUCCUGUGAGGUAGUCAAGGCCACAGUAAUACAGAGCUCGGUUUCCCAAUCUGCAGUUCCUGUUACUAUUGCUGUAGGUGGAGCAGCACAAGCUUCUAAUCAAAAUCACAGCAGUGCAGGACCACAACCAUCUGUUGCUGUUGUCAGUUCUCAGACUUUGCUUCACCACCAACCUGUAAUUCAACAACAGUCUCCACUACAUGCAGUGGUACCAGGACAGAUACCUUCAGGCACUCCUGUUACGGUAAUUCAACAAGCUGUACCUCAGGGUCAUAUAUUUGGCAGAGUACAGAACCUACCAGCAUGCACUUCAGCAGUUUCACAGGGUCAACAGUUAAUCACUACAUCGUCACAACCUUUGCAGACUUCAUCUCAGCAGCCCUCUGCUGGUAACCAGCAACAAGACACAGUCAUCAUAGCACCCCAACAAUAUGUCACAACCUCUGCAUCCAAUAUUGUUUCUGCCACUACAGUACAGAAUUUUCAAGUUGCAGCUGGGCAAGUGGUUACUAUUGCUGGUGUCCAAAAUCCACAAACUUCUAGGGUAGGGUUUCAGAAUAUUGCUCCAAAGCCUCUACCUUCUCAGCAAGUCCCACCUACAGUGGUACAGCAACCCAUGCAGCAGCAGCCGCCACCAUCCCAACAAAGUGUAGUGAUUGUAAGCCAGCCAGCUCAGCAAGGUCAAACUUAUGCACCAGCCAUUCACCAAAUUGUGCUAACUAAUCCAGCUUCUCUUCCAGCUGGGCAAACUGUCCAGUUGACUGGACAACCAAACAUAACUCCAUCUUCCUCACCGUCUCCUGGACCAGUUACAAAUAACCAGGUUCCUACAGUAAUGUCAUCUCCAUCUACUACUCAGUCACAAGGACCCCCUCCUACUGUCAGCCAGAUGCUUUCCGUGAAGAGGCAGCAACAGCAGCAACAUUCACCCGCGCCAUCACAACAACAGGUACAAGUACAAGUCCAGCAACAACAACCGGUACAAAUGCAAGUUCAGCCACAGCAAGCUAAUGCAGGAGUUGGUCAGCCUUCGUCUGGAGAAUCUAGUCUGAUAAAACAGCUGCUUCUUCCAAAACGAGGCCCUUCAACUCCUGGUGGUAAGCUUAUACUCCCAGCUCCACAGAUUCCUCCACCUAACAAUGCAAGAGCCCCUAGCCCUCAGGUGGUUUAUCAGGUGGCUAAUAACCAAGCACCAAGUUUUGGAGUUCAAGGACAGUCUCCAGCUCAGCAGCUAUUAGUUGGACAGCAAAAUGUUCAGCUGGUCCAGAGUGCAAUCCAGCCCCAAGGGGCAGUACAAACAGUACCCAUUUCUAAUCUACAAAUAUUGCCAGGCCAGUUGAUCUCAAAUAGCCCAGCAACCAUUUUCCAAGGGACUUCUGGCAACCAGGUUACCAUAACAGUUGUGCCAAAUACUAGUUUUGCUACUGCAACUGUGAGUCAGGGAAAUACAACUCAGCUCAUUGCUCCAGCAGGAAUCUCAAUGAGUGGAACACAGACAGGAGUUGGGCUUCAGGUGCAAACACUUCCAACUACUCCAGCACCUCCAGCUGGACAAUCACCAUGUGCUGCUGCUCCUCCAUUCAAAGGUGAUAAAAUAAUUUGCCAAAAGGAGGAAGAAGCAAAGGAAGCAACAGGUUUACACGUUCAUGAACGUAAAAUUGAAGUUAUGGAAAAUCCCUCUUGCCGAAGAGGAGCUGUGAAUACCAGUAAUGGGGAUGCAAAGGAAAAUGAUAUGCAGGUGGGAAGUCUUUUAAAUGGGAGAAAGUAUAAUGACUCCAGUCUACCUCCUUCUAACUCAGGGAAAACUCAAAAUGAGGCCAAUCAGUGCUCACAAGUCAGUAACGGGCCAUCAUUAGAAUUGGGUGAGAAUGGAGCUCCUGGAAAGCAGAACUUUGAACAAAUGGACACACAGGAAAUUAAAAGUGAUUUGAAGAAGCCCCUAGUUAAUGGAAUCUGUGAUUUUGAUAAAGGAGAUGGUUCUCAUUUGAGCAAAAACAUUCCAAAUCACAAAACUUCCAAUCAUGUAGGAAAUGGUGAGAUCUCUCCAGUGGAACAAGGGAAUUCAGAUGUCAUGCAGCAAGAGACUGCUAAAGGUGAUCAAGGGGAAAGGAUUUCUAAUGGACCUGUAUUAACUUUCAGUAGUUCACCUGUUGUAAGCGGUACACAGGAAGCUGCAAAACUGUUAACCCAGCAACUUAGUGGUACCAACACUGAUUUACCUAAUGGACCUUUAGCUUCAAGUUUGAAUUCAGAUGUGCCUCAGCAACGCCCAAGUGUAGUUGUCUCACCACAAUCUACAGCCUCUGUUAUACAGGGGCAUCAAAUCAUAGCAGUUCCACACUCAGGACCUAGAGUGUCCCAGUCUACCCUGUCAUCUGAAGUUCGGUCUACUAAUGGCACAGCAGAAUGCAAAACUGUAAAGAGGCCAGCGGAGGAUAAUGAUAGGGAAACUGUUCCAGGAAUUCCAAAUAAAGUAGGAGUUAGAAUUGUUACAAUCAGUGACCCCAACAAUGCAGGUUGCAGUGCAACUAUGGUUGCUGUGCCAGCUGGAGCGGAUCCAAGCACUGUAGCUAAAGUAGCAAUAGAAAGCGCUGUUCAGCAAAAGCAGCAGCAUCCAACAACAUAUAUACAAAGCAUGGUCACACAGAGUACACCUGUGACACCAGUACCAACAGUGCAAGUACAGGGCCAGCAGAUCAAUUUGCAGCCUUCUUCAUAUCCAAUACCAAGUCAACAUGGCGAGCAAGUGAAAAAACCUGGACAGAACUUCAUGUGUCUGUGGCAAUCUUGUAAAAAGUGGUUUCAAACACCAUCACAAGUUUUUUAUCAUGCAGCAACUGAACAUGGAGGAAAAGAUGUCUAUCCAGGGCAGUGCUUAUGGGAGGGUUGUGAACCUUUUCAGCGACAGAGGUUUUCCUUCAUUACCCACUUACAGGAUAAGCACUGCUCCAGAGAUGCUCUACUUGCAGGAUUAAAACAAGAUGAACACGGACAAGCAGGAAAUCAGAAACCUUCCAAUAAGCAGCCAACUGCAGGGAGUAGUACCUCUACUCCUAGAGCACAGAAAGCUAUUGUGAAUCAUCCUAGUGCUGCCCUCAUGGCACUAAGAAGGGGAUCAAGAAAUCUUGUCUUCAGAGAUUUUACAGAUGAAAAAGAGGGACCAAUAACUAAACACAUCCGAUUAACAGCUGCCUUAAUAUUAAAAAAUAUUGGUAAAUAUUCAGAAUGUGGUCGCAGAUUGCUAAAGAGACAUGAAAAUCACCUAUCUGUGCUAGCCAUUAGUAAUAUGGAAGCUUCCUCCACACUUGCCAAAUGCCUUUAUGAACUUAAUUUUACAGUCCAGAGUAAAGAACAAGAAAAAGACUCUGAAAUGCUGCAGUGAGAAAAGUCCCACUUGUACAUAGGGACAGAGAUAGUCAAAUACAUUUCAAAUACUGUUACUGAAGAAAGCACCAAGUCUUAAUGGAACAGAGACCAUAGAUUGAAUUAUUUUAUCUCCUCCUGUGAUGUUGAGAGGAAGCUUUGUAUUCUGAUCACUGAGUGAAUCCCUUUGUUCUGUUUAGAGAAAGGAAAAAAACUGCCAUGGGAUUUUCAACCACCUAUCUGCGGGAUGUCUCUCGAAUCUGAUAAAUCCUGAAGGAAACUGGUGUGAUCAGAAUUCAGUACCAUCCACAUUGGAAUAAACAUGGAAUAUUGUAAAACCUACAUGAGCAGAUGAAAUAGAAGCAUUAAAUAUUUUUAUCUAUAUCCAAAAAGGAGCACAUUUUUAUAUUUACGAAACCAUUUAAGCUGGUUUGAAUAAAAGAGAAAAGUUUCAGCACACCUGUAACCCCCCUGGUCUCGGAGGGUGCCACCAGUAUCUAGCUAUGGAUUGCGUGUUUUGUUUAGAAAUCAGUAGCUUGGUUUUCUUACUUGAGCCAAUAUAUUUUCACUUAUUUAUUAUCAUAAAAAUUUACCAGUCUGAAUAGAUCUUGUAAAUAGUUGUGAAUAGAACACCUUUCAUGCCACUGCAGCCACUGGAAAACAUUCUGUGGUGUCCUAGGAGCAUUAUAGGGCUUGUACGUGAUCCGCUGUGUGGUAAAGACCCGCCUGCUUUUACUGAUCUAUGUUCUACUAAGGCCAGCUCAACAGUAAUGCAGCAUCUUCUCCUGCGAGGAGGAAGAAAGUCACAACUGAUAAGCUUAGAGUCAGCAUUUGCUUCUUUCAUUUGUACUAAGAUCUUCUUUCUGAUGCAUUGUCCAUUGCUUCCUUCUGAAAUGUAUAAUGCCAGAACUGUGAAGGCACAGCAGUGAACAACUUGCUCUCAAUUUCGGACAAAAUCAGUAUUUGGACCCAAACUAUUUUAUGUUGCCAACAUGACUUUGUUUUCCUCUGGUUUUUUUUCAAUUGCUUUUUUAAUUAUUAUGAACUUGUUUUUGUCAGUGCAUGAUUCUGCCUUUUAGCAUGAGAGGAAGAAGAAUGGCCUUGGAAUUAAGGAACUGGACAAGGGCUCAGAACUUGGCUUACUUCCUGGUGCUGCCAAAGACUUCCUGUGUGACUUUGGAGAAGUUGCUUAAUGUCAGUGUGCCUCACUGUAAAAUAGUGACGAUAGAAUUGCACUGUCUCAUAGGGGUAUCAUGAGGAUAAAUCAAUAAAUGGUGUUCAGAGGCUAUAGCAAUGUGGGGUCAAAAUGGUACCCACAUACCAUCAAAGUGUCUUGGUUCAUUCCAUCUAUGUUUGGUCCUGUGCACAGGGAGGGCCUUGAGCAGAGGCGCCACAUUGGGGAGAGGGGGCACGGAGGGUCAUGUGCCCCGCACCUCCCCACAAGAGUUGCUACUUGGCUUGUACUGAGCAUGCUCAGUAACAUCGGCUGAAGCAGCUGCCCUCAUUCCAUCCCCCCCACCUUCCACUGUCAGCAGGUACAGGUGGUCUCUGGCCUUAAGUAUUAACCAGUCACACUGGGGGAACACAGUUUUUUUCACUCCUGGGCCCUUUUCCACCUACAUUGUCAUGGUGGCAAACAGUUUUAUCUGUCUGGAUGGUUCUGAACAGCCUUUUCCAGUCUCAAUGCUGGUGUAAUUUCAUUUGGUGGGUAGUCACAAAUGCAUGUGCAGUGGCCAUCUGUCUUCCUGUGCUGCCUACAGCAAGGCCAAUAAUCAGCUCAACAUGGCUAGUGAUCACCAGUCCAGGGAACUGAAAGCUUAAGGUUGUUCCCUAUGGCCCAGCAUAGCAACUUGCCCGCCUUUAAUCACUCAAGUUUUAAAAUUUGGUUUAUAGAAAUAACGAACGAUGUAAGGUUAAUAAGAAGAAGGGGUUUUAAGUGGGAUAUUUUGAACUAAUCAAUUCUUUUUAAGUGGGUAUGUGGUGAGAACUCGAAGCUGAUCUUGAUGGAUUAUCAUUACUAUCAAACAUUUCAAGAAUGCAAGAAACAUAAAUGAUUAUCAUUAUUGUCAUAGCUUUUCUCCCAAAAUCUUUAAAAAUGGACUAUGACAUCAAAAAUACAUGUUGAGUCUGGUAAUCUGCUGUCUUUUUCAUUGUCAUGUUACAGUUUAUUUCUUUAAAGAUAUUAUCUUGCAAGUUUAUCACUUUAUGUAUGUAGGGCUCCAAGCCACCCUGUAUACUGGCAUAAGGGGACCAGACACUGAGAAUUCCA